AUGCUAAUGGUUAGGUUGAUUGGUUAGUUAGCGAAUGCAGAAUGCUAGAUGAUAUCGCUAAGUUGUGGAUAGUUAGGUAUUAUGGAAUUAGUCUUUAUGCUAGAUUCUGGAAUAUGAUUGAUUGUGUUAAUUUGCGAUUAAUACUAGGAACCUUGUGUUAUUUUACCGGGUUUAUUAUUAAUCAUAUAUUGGCCAUAUAGCAUUUGUGUAACCCACACUGCUAGGCAUGUUUGAGGUAGAUGUGUUGAUUUUGUGGUGACUAUUACUAGGAACCUUGUUUUAUACUACCGGGUUUAGUAUUAGUCGUAUAUUAGCCGAUAGCAUUUGUGUAACCCACAAUGGCAUAUUGGGGUGAGUUAGUGUUCCUACAGACCUCGUACCCGGCGGGUUCAAGGAAACCCCUUAUUCGCUGGAUCGGGAAGACUCAGAUAGACGGGGUCAUGGCCUAUGGCUGAGUGAUUACACGACGGUGUAAUGUGGCAGUGACCCAAAGGACUGUGGGCUGUCGCGCGGUGACCCGAAGGACAGCGGGCCGCGGUCGGUUGAAAGUUCCUUCUUCUGGCCUUUGUGGUACGAAGAUAGGAUAUUGCCGAUAGUGAAGCAGGAACAUAACGUCACCAGGGCCCGAGUUUGAUA
rnacentral:lncRNA from 1 species